UACGAAGGGGGCUAGCGUUGCUCGGAAUCACUGGGCGUAAAGCGCACGUAGGCGGUUUCUUAAGUCAGGGGUGAAAUCCCGGAGCUCAACUCCGGAACUGCCUUUGAAUACUGGGAGACUUGAGUUCGGGAGAGGUGAGUGGAACUGCGAGUGUAGAGGUGAAAUUCGUAGAUAUUCGCAAGAACACCAGUGGCGAAGGCGGCUCACUGGCCCGAUACUGACGCUGAGGUGGCGAAAGCGUGGGGAGCCAAAC
rnacentral:rRNA from 1 species